UUGAAAUAUUGAAAUUUUCUCGUUUUAUCCUAUUAUCUUUUUGAAGUCUUUUAGGGGUUUGAGCACUUCAAAUAAUUAGGAGCACUUUCGGUGACUAAAGUAUUUUUUUUUUUUUUAUUAAAAUAACUUGAACUUUGCUUUUAUUUCAUUUUAAUUAUUAUUUUUAUUUACUUUUAUUGAAAAGUUAUAAACUUCAACACUUUUCUAUUUUUGAAAUAAAAUCGAAUUAAAUUAAAAGGCAGUACAAAGUUCUAAUAGCACCGGACUGAUCAAGAUUUGUAAUCUAUCUGAUUACCCUUUGUCUAAUCAUUCUAACAAAGAUCCUAAGUGUACAUAAACCCAAAUUUUCUUUGUUUUAUAAAUACAUAAAUCAUCCCCGUAAGAUAGCUGGAUAUUAGUAGAGGUUUUGUCGUUUGUCUUCCUUAAUCUUCUAGACAAUAUUGGUUAUAUAAUACUACUAUAUCGCUUACUAACAUUUAAUACUAUUGUACUAAUAAAUUUAUUCCUACCUUACACCUAUUAUCACAGUUUGAAAUCUUAUUUUUAUCUUAAAACUACUAUCACAGAGUAUCUAUUGCAGAUUUUAAUCCUAUAAGCUUUCUAUAAGACUAUUCUUAAUAUUUCGUGCAAUUUUACUACUUUCUUUGGAAUUCAAGGUGUAACCGCCACUAAAUAUCUCAUUUCCGGUUACGAUCUAAGCUUCCUAUAAAACAAUCUACUACAAUCACUUUCUUUGCUACUUUUUUUUUUUUCUCCUUUUUGCAUUUGUCCCAAAAAGCAAUGGCCGACUUGAGAAAAUAAAGUAUAUCCAUACUCUUCACUCUCCCUUUAGAGUGAGAUAAAUCGUGUUUGUGGUUAAGUGUCAAAAUUAAUUGUGUAAAUAUAUAAAAGAAAACUCAACGUGGUGGAAGAUGGGCAACAGGUCUUUGUUUUAGUUUCUGAGGAACAUCAAAGAAAAGGUGCAGGAUAUAUUCUCGGAAUGCAACUAUGCUUGUAAUUAUUGUAUCUAUGAAUAUAAUAUGCAUUCAGAAACAGGGGAAACUGGAUGGAUGGAUCGAGGAUCACAUAAUGUUGCUGGAUAGGUUGAGGGGGUGUGUAUGAUCACCUCCUCCCUACACUUAUGAUGAUAGUAGAUUAGUUAUGGCAUGAGUAGUUAGUUUAUAUUUAAGUUAUUAUUAUUAAGUUUUAUUUUAAUUAUGAUGGUAGUUAGAUAUGUGCAUGUUAGUUUUUAAGUAUGAAUUUUAAUGAUAAAAAUGCCGCCAUUGCCACGUUACAAGCUCGAUGAUUAUGGCUGAGUGGUCGUGAGGUCAUGAGCAUCGUAAAAAGAAGUGGAUCUGGUGGUAUUAUUGACCUAUUAAUGAAUUUUAAAUCAUUCAACGUGUGGCAAGAGCCCCGCCCUGAACUCUCCUGCUCUACUGAUUAAGCCGGGCAUUUAUUAUGACAAAUAGUGCGAUUAUACACUGACAGAAUUUUUCGAUUU